CCUUAGAGUUUGAUCCUGGCUCAGGACGAACGCUGGCGGCGUGCCUAACACAUGCAAGUCGAACGGAACUGUUUUGAAAGAUUUCUUCGGAAUGAAUUUGAUUUAGUUUAGUGGCGGACGGGUGAGUAACGCGUGAGUAACCUGCCUUCAAGAGGGGGAUAACAUUCUGAAAAGAAUGCUAAUACCGCAUGACAUAUCGGAACCACAUGGUUCUGAUAUCAAAGAUUUUAUCGCUUGAAGAUGGACUCGCGUCCGAUUAGUUAGUUGGUGAGGUAACGGCUCACCAAGACCGCGAUCGGUAGCCGGACUGAGAGGUUGAACGGCCACAUUGGGACUGAGACACGGCCCAGACUCCUACGGGAGGCAGCAGUGGGGGAUAUUGCGCAAUGGGGGCAACCCUGACGCAGCAACGCCGCGUGAAGGAUGAAGGUUUUCGGAUUGUAAACUUCUUUUAUUAAGGACGAAAAAUGACGGUACUUAAUGAAUAAGCUCCGGCUAACUACGUGCCAGCAGCCGCGGUAAUACGUAGGGAGCAAGCGUUGUCCGGAUUUACUGGGUGUAAAGGGUGSGUAGGCGGCUUUGCAAGUCAGAUGUGAAAUCUAUGGGCUCAACCCAUAAACUGCAUUUGAAACUGUAGAGCUUGAGUGAAGUAGAGGCAGGCGGAAUUCCCCGUGUAGCGGUGAAAUGCGUAGAGAUGGGGAGGAACACCAGUGGCGAAGGCGGCCUGCUGGGCUUUAACUGACGCUGAGGCACGAAAGCGUGGGUAGCAAACAGGAUUAGAUACCCUGGUAGUCCACGCUGUAAACGAUGAUUACUAGGUGUGGGGGGUCUGACCCCUUCCGUGCCGGAGUUAACACAAUAAGUAAU
rnacentral:rRNA from 1 species